rnacentral:rRNA from 1 species
GACGAACGCUGGCGGCGUGCUUAACACAUGCAAGUCGAGCGGUAAGGCCCUUUCGGGGGUACACGAGCGGCGAACGGGUGAGUAACACGUGGGUGACCUGCCCUCAGCUCUGGGAUAAGCCCGGGAAACUGGGUCUAAUACCGGAUAUGACUCCAUGACGCAUGUUGUGGGGUGGAAAGCCUUGUGCGGCUGAGGAUGGGCCCGCGGCCUAUCAGCUUGUUGGUGGGGUGAUGGCCACCAAGGCGACGACGGGUAGCCGGCCUGAGAGGGCGACCGGCCACACUGGGACUGAGAUACGGCCCAGACUCCUACGGGAGGCAGCAGUGGGGAAUCUUGCGCAAUGGGCGAAAGCCUGACGCAGCGACGCCGCGUGAGGGAUGACGGCCUCGGU